CGACUACAAAGCGGUUUUUAAUCGCGAGUAAAGUGGCGAACGGGUGAGUAACGCGUGGGAAACCUGCCCUCGAGUGGGGGAUAACAUUCCUAACGGAAUGCUAAUACCGCAUAACAUUACAGGUCUCAUGUCCUGUAAUCAAAGGUGGCCUCUACUUGUAAGCUGUCGCUUGAGGAUGGUCCCGCGUCCCAUUAGCUUGUUGGUAGGGUAACGGCCUACCAAGGCGACGAUGGGUAGCCGGCCUGAGAGGGUGACCGGCCACACUGGGACUGAGACACGGCCCAGACUCCUACGGGAGGCAGCAGUCGAGAGGCUUCGGCAAUGGGGGAAACCCUGACCGAGCGACGCCGCGUGGACGAUGAAGUUUUUCGGAACGUAAAGUCCUGUCAUACGGGAUGAAAAGUGGAUUGGUUAAUAGCCUUUCCGCCUGACAGUACCGUAAGAGGAAGCUCCGGCUAACUCCGUGCCAGCAGCCGCGGUAAUACGGGGGGAGCGAGCGUUAUUCGGAUUUAUUGGGCGUAAAGGGUUCGUAGGCGGUCAGGUCAGUCAGGGGUGAAAUCUAACAGCUCAACUGUUAAACUGCCCUUGAAACUUCCUGACUUGAGUAC
rnacentral:rRNA from 1 species